rnacentral:ncRNA from 1 species
AUGCCCCGCUUCGAAAGCGGCGGGGCGGGCAAAUGGAGUGAGCCGAGUUUUCCAAGGGUGAACAUGUCACCCUCAUUCAAACCGUUAGAACUGUGGCACCAUAGAAGACCACAGCAGUGAUUUACGUCGCUAUAUGCUGGAACAUCCGGCGCAUCCCUUCGUACCGUUCACGGUAACAAUCGAAGGGUGAAGUCUGAUCCGGACAAUCAGCAGGAAACCGCUGGCCGAAGGGCUCGCGGGCUCCUCAGAGACUACACGCGACGCAUCCUGACGGAAUUGAAAAUAGUAAAUUGAAAAUGGAAAAUUCAAUUUUCCAUUCUCCAUUUUACAUUUUCCAUUCAUCCGAAGGAUGAUGAUAUAGUCCGAUCCCUCUGGCGACAGAGGG